CAUCAUACAGCCCAUUCCAUAUCCCAUUGAGCCCAUUUCCUGGUAAUCUUUUAUCCUGGUUUGUGGCUGUAAUACUUGCGUCCAAAACCAUCGGCUGGAAUGGCACUGCCACUUGCUCAAUCAGCAUCUCUAGAGGCAGAAGAUUCCUAUUUAAUUGCUUAUCCAGAGCCAUCCCUAUUGCUGACUGAAAAAGAAAAUAUAUUGAAGAUCUAACCAAAGGGGAAAAAAAAACCUGAUGGUGAUCCUAACCUUCUAUCUGCCGCCUUUCUCGCUCAGUCUAUUCGAGGUAUGUAGCCUCAGGAUGAGAUUCAUUUUGACGAAAGUCUGCCACGUAAGCUGCGAACGCCAUGCCAUAAAAUUUUUACCUUCUCACUAGCUAUGUUCACAGGUGCCGGAGGAGAUAUUCUUCAAAUAAUGAGAUUUUCCAUGAUAGUUUCAUUUGUCGUUGCU
rnacentral:sRNA from 1 species